rnacentral:rRNA from 1 species
UUUUUCUUUUCUCGGGGGGGGGGGGCUGUGGGUUUAGUUCCGCGAGGCAACCUUGUCAUACUUUCCAGCGGGUCAUCCCGGGGACUCAUGGGAGACUGCCGGGGUCAAAUCGCAUGAAGGCGCGGACGAUGUCAAGUCAUCAUGCCCUUUAUAUCCAGGGUUUCACGCAUGUUACAAUGGCCGGUACAAAGGGCCGGGAUGCUGUAAGGCGCAUCGAACAGCAAAAAACCCGUUUCAGUUCCGACCGGCGUUUGUCAGUGAAACACCAGAAGUCGGAGUCGUUCCUAAUCGACAGAUCUGCAUCUUUCCGGC